UACGUAGGGUGCGAGCGUUAAUCGGAAUUACUGGGCGUAAAGCGUGCGCAGGCGGCUUCGCAAGUCAGGCGUGAAAUCCCCCGGGCUUAACCUGGGAAUGGCGUCUGAAACUACGGAGCUGGAGUGUGGCAGAGGGAGGUAGAAUUCCACGUGUAGCGGUGAAAUGCGUAGAUAUGUGGAGGAAUACCGAUGGCGAAGGCAGCCUCCUGGGCCAACACUGACGCUCAUGCACGAAAGCGUGGGGAGCAAACAGG
rnacentral:rRNA from 1 species